rnacentral:lncRNA from 1 species
AUGGCGAGUCUUGAGUCCAUAGUGUGGAGAUACUGGAGGGAUUGUGCAAGUGCUUGUUAGAGAACAAGGGUACUGAGCGUGGCCAUAGCAAGUAGUCACUUGGAUGUCUAUCCACUCGUCAGUGAUUUACUUGAUGCUGCAGUUGUAUGACUGGUCCUUUGACCUGCGAUGCCUCGGCUAUUCACAGUGAGGUUGUUAUAGUUUGACGAGCACAUAAAUAUGGGCCCUAUCCAUUUGGGUUCUUGUGGUGCAGAUUGGCUGCAGUAGGUUCAUUGUAGGAGUAGGGGUGCAUCUAGAUGGAAUCUAUCGGCCUUGAUAAAUUAGGAUAUAACCUAUGUAAUUUAUGAGACUGAGUUCGUAAAUCCUUGGCCAAAGUACUUUUUUGAAAAGAGUUUUCCAAUCUCGAACUAGAGUCGAAUAAAUCUUGACAUAUGACAGAUGAUGGGGUUUGACGAGUGAUCCAUGACCUCCAUCUUGUCGGGUUCCACAAUAGAGGAAUUGUAUCAUACGCUAAUUGCAACUAGAGAUCCAUCUAUUCUAUUCUGCUAGGUAGCCACUACAUGCUGCUA